CACGUAGGGCGCAAGCGUUGUCCGGAAUUAUUGGGCGUAAAGAGCUCGUAGGCGGUCCGUCACGUCCGCUGUGAAAACCCAGGGCUCAACCCUGGGCUUGCAGUGGAUACGGGCAGACUAGAGGUAGGUAGGAGAAAACGGAAUUCCACAAGUAGCGGUGAAAUGCGUAGAUAUGUGGAAGAACACCGGUGGCGAAGGCGGUUUUCUAAUUUAGACCUGACGCUGAGGCGCGAAAGCAAGGGGAUCAAACAGG
rnacentral:rRNA from 1 species